UACGUAGGGUGCAAGCGUUAAUCGGAAUUACUGGGCGUAAAGCGUGCGCAGGCGGCUAUGCAAGACAGAUGUGAAAUCCCCGGGCUCAACCUGGGAACUGCAUUUGUGACUGCAUAGCUAGAGUACGGUAGAGGGGGAUGGAAUUCCGCGUGUAGCAGUGAAAUGCGUAGAUAUGCGGAGGAACACCGAUGGCGAAGGACAAUCCCCUGGACCUGUACUGACGCUCAUGCACGAAAGGCGUGGGGAGCAAACAGG
rnacentral:rRNA from 1 species